rnacentral:rRNA from 1 species
AUGGACUUUAUCACCGGAUUACCCAGGACUCGUUCAGGCUAUGACUCCAUCUGGGUUGUAGUCGAUCGUUUGACAAAAGUAGCUCAUUUCAUCCCGGUGAAGACAACUUAUACGAGUGCUAAGUUGGCAACGAUAUACAUGACCAGGAUCGUAUGCCUGCAUGGAGUUCCGAGGACCAUUCUAUCAGAUAGAGGAACCCAGUUUACUUCAAAGUUUUGGAAUCAGUUGCAUGAAACUUUGGGUACUAGGCUAGAGUUCAAUACAGCCUUUCAUCCACAGGCAGAUGGACGGACCGAGAGAGUCAAUCAGAUUCUGGAAGACAUGCUGAGAGCGUGUGCGCUAGAUUAUGGAUCUAAUUGGGAUGACAAUUUUCCAUAUGCAGAGUUCUCUUAUAACAACAGUUAUCAAGCUAGUUUGAAGAUGGCCCCUUUCAAAGCCUUGUACGGAAGGAGGUGCAGGACACCGUUAUCGUGA